rnacentral:rRNA from 1 species
CAGUCGAGGGGAAACGAUAUUGGAAGCUUGCUUCCGAUAGGCGUCGACCGCCUUACGGGUGAGUAACGCGUAUCCAACCUGCCCACCACUUGGGGAUAACCUUGCGAAAGUAAGACUAAUACCCAAUGAUAUCUCUAGAAGACAUCUGAAAGAGAUUAAAGAUUUAUCGGUGAUGGAUGGGGAUGCGUCUGAUUAGCUUGUUGGCGGGGUAACGGCCCACCAAGGCAACGAUCAGUAGGGGUUCUGAGAGGAAGGUCCCCCACAUUGGAACUGAGACACGGUCCAAACUCCUACGGGAGGCAGCAGUGAGGAAUAUUGGUCAAUGGACGAGAGUCUGAACCAGCCAAGUAGCGUGCAGGAAGACGGCCCUAUGGGUUGUAAACUGCUUUUAUAAGGGAAUAAAGUUAGUCUCGUGAGACUUUUUGCAUGUACCUUAUGAAUAAGGACCGGCUAAUUCCGUGCCAGCAGCCGCGGUAAUACGGAAGGUCCGGGCGUUAUCCGGAUUUAUUGGGUUUAAAGGGAGCGUAGGCCGGAGAUUAAGCGUGUUGUGAAAUGUAGACGCUCAACGUCUGCACUGCAGCGCGAACUGGUUUCCUUGAGUACGCACAAAGUGGGCGGAAUUCGUGGUGUAGCGGUGAAAUGCUUAGAUAUCACGAAGAACUCCGAUUGCGAAGGCAGCUCACUGGAGCGCAACUGACGCUGAAGCUCGAAAGUGCGGGUAUCGAACAGGAUUAGAUACCCUGGUAGUCCGCACGGUAAACGAUGGAU